GGGUUGUGAGGUUAAGCGACUAAGCGUACACGGUGGAUGCCCUGGCAGUCAGAGGCGAUGAAGGGCGUGCUAAUCUGCGAUAAGCGCCGGUAAGGUGAUAUGAACCGUUAUAACCGGCGAUACCCGAAUGGGGAAACCCAGUGUGACUCGUCACACUAUCAUUAACUGAAUCCAUAGGUUAAUGAGGCGAACCGGGGGAACUGAAACAUCUAAGUACCCCGAGGAAAAGAAAUCAACCGAGAUUCCCCCAGUAGCGGCGAGCGAACGGGGAGGAGCCCAGAGCCUGAAUCAGCAUGUGUGUUAGUGGAAGCGUCUGGAAAGGCGCGCGAUACAGGGUGACAGCCCCGUACACAAAAGCGCAUGUGCUGUGAGCUCAAUGAGUAGGGCGGGACACGUGGUAUCCUGUCUGAAUAUGGGGGGACCAUCCUCCAAGGCUAAAUACUCCUGACUGACCGAUAGUGAACCAGUACCGUGAGGGAAAGGCGAAAAGAACCCCGGCGAGGGGAGUGAAAAAGAACCUGAAACCGUGUACGUACAAGCAGUGGGAGCCCCACCACUAAGCCAGUGGUGAACUCCACAUACGCAUCCUUUGCUGAGGAUACGGUUAAGGGAGCGAAAGCGACGUUCAACCGCAAAAGAAGCAGAGGGGGCUUAGUGGUGGGGUGACUGCGUACCUUUUGUAUAAUGGGUCAGCGACUUAUAUUCUGUAGCAAGGUUAACCGUAUAGGGGAGCCGUAGGGAAACCGAGUCUUAACCGGGCGUUAAGUUGCAGGGUAUAGACCCGAAACCCGGUGAUCUAGCCAUGGGCAGGUUGAAGGUUGGGUAACACUAACUGGAGGACCGAACCGACUAAUGUUGAAAAAUUAGCGGAUGACCUGUGGCUGGGGGUGAAAGGCCAAUCAAACCGGGAGAUAGCUGGUUCUCCCCGAAAGCUAUUUAGGUAGCGCCUCGUGAACUCAUCUCCGGGGGUAGAGCACUGUUUCGGCUAGGGGGUCAUCCCGACUUACCAACCCGAUGCAAACUGCGAAUACCGGAGAAUGUUAUCACGGGAGACACACGGCGGGUGCUAACGUCCGUCGUGAAGAGGGAAACAACCCAGACCGCCAGCUAAGGUCCCAAAGUCAUGGUUAAGUGGGAAACGAUGUGGGAAGGCCCAGACAGCCAGGAUGUUGGCUUAGAAGCAGCCAUCAUUUAAAGAAAGCGUAAUAGCUCACUGGUCGAGUCGGCCUGCGCGGAAGAUGUAACGGGGCUAAACCAUGCACCGAAGCUGCGGCAG
rnacentral:rRNA from 1 species